AAUAUUGGACAAUGGGGGCAACCCUGAUCCAGCCAUGCCGCGUGUGUGAAGAAGGUCUUCGGAUUGUAAAGCACUUUAAGUUGGGAGGAAGGGCUUUAGGCUAAUACCCUGAAGUUUUGACGUUACCAACAGAAUAAGCACCGGCUAACUCUGUGCCAGCAGCCGCGGUAAUACAGAGGGUGCAAGCGUUAAUCGGAAUUACUGGGCGUAAAGCGCGCGUAGGUGGUUUGUUAAGUUGGAAGUGAAAGCCCCGGGCUCAACCUGGGAACUGCUUUCAUAACUGCUGAGCUAGAGUACGGUAGAGGGUAGUGGAAUUUCCUGUGUAGCGGUGAAAUGCGUAGAUAUAAGAAGGAACACCAGUGGCGAAGGCGACUACCUGGACUGAUACUGACACUGAGGUGCGAAAGCGUGGGGAGCAAACA
rnacentral:rRNA from 1 species